rnacentral:lncRNA from 1 species
CCCAACCCCUUCCCUCGGGAUAGGCUUGCCUGGGCAGAGUUUCUCAGUUUAUGCAAUACCUCAGUUGGGCUCAUUGUCUCUUCCUUCAUCAGAAAUCCCCUGGUUCCUGCUGGGAGUCACACUACGCCCUGCAGUAGGCAAGAGAAGCAGAGAAGGUUGGGCAAGAAAAUUUGAUGGAAAAACACCUAUUCAGAAGACCUGGAGAAACAUGGAUAUGCAGAAAAUCCAACGAUCAGAGCUGGACUGAAGAUACAGCCCUCAAAACACCGAAGUAAAUGCUCAUAGCUCUGGCCCAUUGUGUGAUAACAGGGGAAUCAGACUGACUGCACCAACUUCUAAGGAAAAGCUCUUCUGAAUU